rnacentral:rRNA from 1 species
AUUACGCCGCGUGAGGGAUGAAGGCCUCGGGUUGUAAACCUCUUUUAGCAGGGAAGAAGCGAAAGUGACGGUACCUGCAGAAAAAGCACCGGCUAACUACGUGCCAGCAGCCGCGGUAAUACGUAGGGUGCAAGCGUUGUCCGGAAUUAUUGGGCGUAAAGAGCUCGUAGGCGGUUUGUCGCGUCUGAUGUGAAAAUCCGAUGCUCAACAUCGGACCUGCAGUGGGUACGGGCAGACUAGAGUGCGGUAGGGGAGAAGGGAAUUCCUGGUGUAGCGGUGGAAUGCGCAGAUAUCAGGAGGAACACCAAUGGCGAAGGCACUUCUCUGGGCCGUAACUGACGCUGAGGAGCGAAAGCGUGGGGAGCGAACAGGAUUAGAUACCCUGGUAGUCCACGCCGUAAACGGUGGGUGCUAGUUGUGGGCUCCAUUCCACGGAGUCCGUGACGAAGUUAACACAUUAAGCACCCCGCCUGGGGAGUACGGUCGCAAGACUAAAACUCAAAGAAAUUGACGGGGGCCCGCACAAGCGGCGGAGCAUGCGGAUUAAUUCGAUGCAACGCGAAGAACCUUANCAAGGCUUGACAUAUAGAGGAAANCUGCAGAAAUGUAGGCCCCGGAAGGUAUCUAUACACGUGGUGCCUGGUUGUCGUCAGCUCGUGUCGUGAGAAUGUC